GAGUUUGAUCCUGGCUCAGGAUGAACGCUGGCGGCGUGCUUAACACAUGCAAGUCGAACGGGAAUUACUUUAUUGAAACUUCGGUCGAUUUAAUUUAAUUCUAGUGGCGGACGGGUGAGUAACGCGUGGGUAACCUGCCUUAUACAGGGGGAUAACAGUCAGAAAUGGCUGCUAAUACCGCAUAAGCGCACAGAGCUGCAUGGCUCAGUGUGAAAAACUCCGGUGGUAUAAGAUGGACCCGCGUUGGAUUAGCUUGUUGGUGGGGUAACGGCCCACCAAGGCGACGAUCCAUAGCCGACCUGAGAGGGUGACCGGCCACACUGGGACUGAGACACGGCCCAGACUCCUACGGGAGGCAGCAGUGGGGAAUAUUGCACAAUGGAGGAAACUCUGAUGCAGCGACGCCGCGUGAGUGAAGAAGUAUCUCGGUAUGUAAAGCUCUAUCAGCAGGGAAGAAAAUGACGGUACCUGACUAAGAAGCCCCGGCUAACUACGUGCCAGCCGCCGCGGUAAUAC
rnacentral:rRNA from 1 species